AAACGACUGCUAAUACCGCAUAAGCCCACGAUCCGGCAUCGGAUUGAGGGAAAAGGAUUUAUUCGCUUCAGGAUGGACUCGCGUCCAAUUAGCUAGUUGGUGAGGUAACGGCCCACCAAGGCGACGAUUGGUAGCCGGACUGAGAGGUUGAACGGCCACAUUGGGACUGAGACACGGCCCAGACUCCUACGGGAGGCAGCAGUGGGGGAUAUUGCACAAUGGGGGAAACCCUGAUGCAGCGACGCCGCGUGGAGGAAGAAGGUUUUCGGAUUGUAAACUCCUGUCGUUAGGGACGAUAAUGACGGUAC
rnacentral:rRNA from 1 species